rnacentral:lncRNA from 1 species
ACAACUUUCAAAAGGAGGAAGAUGUUUUACCCUGAGGUUCAAGGAAAAGAGGAAUAGCUGGGAGCAGCACAGGUAGCUUCUAAGGUUGCAGAGCAGGAAAGGUGAAAUAUAUGUUACUUGGUAACUCUUAAUAUCAUGUACUCAGAGUGAAGGAGUGAAAUUCAGGAGGAAAGGAAAAGUAUGCCUAAUCCCUGAGUUGAAUGAGAGUGGGAAAGCUGAUAAAAGAUAAACUCUUCAUGGUAAAAUUAAUCUGGUAUAAGUAGCUUUUCUCUUGGUGUACUGUUCUUUGCAAGGUUUUAUUUGCAGGUAUGAAAUGCCUGGUUCGUGGAUGGUUGCUAAGAGAUAUGCUUACUCUGAAAUAUCUUUUUCACCUUCCUUUACUUUUCACCAUUACACUCUUUAGUUCAUUAGAAAACUAUGGGGGAAAGGAUUAGUCUCCUCAAACAUCCGUUAGAUAUGUAUACCUGGCAACGGUCCCUCUAAAAACGUAGUACAUCAUUUUAGCUCCAUUAUUGAAACACAAAGUCAUAAGAUGAUGUAAUAUACAACAGAUGAUUUCCAGUGGGGUAAAAUUGUAACAACCACCAUUGUGGGCGGGUGAGAACAAACACAGUGUAUAGGUUAGGAAGGGCAGAUCUUUAUACUAAGAAUGGAAGAUAUCCAAAAGGAAGGGGACGAUACGAAGAUGAACUUCAUCUCACAGUUUUGCUUUAAUAGCCCAGAAUAUGGAUAAUUAUGGUUACUUACCUCUAGCAGUGUAGUAUUGAUAGGAAGGCCUAGACAAUAUAGUCUGGAUUGAUUGGAUAAACACAGAGGAACAAGAGAGCGGCAGAAUUGUACCAUGCAUGCAGCAGGCCAUGCUCUACACGGGCCUCUCAGGAUGCAGCAGAGAGACACUGAAACUGGACAUUGUAGAAGAUGAAUUAUGAGAGUGAUUUAUGAAAGAAAGACAGUGGAGAAUUGCAAUCGAUGGAGACAUUCAAAGAAAAGACUUUGGCACUACAUCAAAAGAGAGUAGAAUAAGUAGUCUUUGCUUAUACAUUUUAAAUGAAAAUAAAUGUUUAUCAUACAUAUUUGCUGUUUUUUAAACUGUAAUUCAAUUACUAAGGCUGAAGGGAAGAAUGGAUGUUGGAUAAAGAACUUUCGAUUCUGUCAUUGUUAGUAUUAUUUGUGUGCGUAUGUGUGUGUGUGUGUGUGUGUGAAUGUUGAGCUUCUCAGCUUCAAUAGUUAGCAGGAAAAAGCACUGAAUCGUGAAGCAUAAACUACAAAUAUAGCAUCUGUAUGAUAUUCUCUUUAAAAAAUGGUAAAAUUCUAGGAAACAGUCUUUGGUGCUUGCUUUUUUAGAAUGAUUGGCAUGGGAUCUGAGUCUUAGUUUCAGCUUUUAUGACUGCUUUUUACUGCAUCAAAUAUUUGACCAGGCAAAGUACAUUUCAAUGAACAGCUUUACUCCCCUUUAAAAGAAUCUGAAAGUCCAGCUAAAACUCCUCAUCAAGUUAGCUGGGAUCAUGGUGUUCAUUUUGGAUGAGGCAAUGUACUAAUUCAUUCAGUCAGCUCGAUUUGACAUUUCUGGGUUAGGGUAUCUUCCUUAAAAGUUACACAAUAAGUUGGAAUUAAAGUGCUCUGCUUGCUUUUGAUAAGACUGAUCAAAAGAGUGAUAGGAGUAAUCACUACUUAGAAUCCUAUUUAAUAAGUAUUUUCCAUUUAUCUAACUCUAAGGAGAAUUUAGGCUAUUUGUCUAGUGAAAUCCAUUUGAUACCAGGAUUUGUUAUGGCCAUUCUACAAUCAGGUGUUCCUAAUGUAAUGAAUGAGAUAAAAAAUAAUUAAGCUAACAUUUAUAUGAUGCUUACUACUUCCAGAAACUGUUAUUAUGCAUUAUUAACUGACUUAAUCCUCCUUACCACUUUAGGGGGUAGAUACUAUUAUUAUUCCUUUUUUUUUCAGAUGACGAAACUAAAGCACAAAGAGAUUAAAGAACUUAUCCAAGGUCAUGCAGCUGGAAAGAAGUGGAUUUGGGAUUGUGAACAUCACAAUUUCACAAACUACAUUUCAUGAUGGGUAGAGCUAGUCAAACGUCUGAAAAUAAAGUUUGGUUUAAAGAUGACCAUCGUCUUGUUAAGAAAUUAUAUAAAUGAGUAUCACUAAAAAGUCUCUCUUUAAACUCACCAAGCACUCUUCACUAUGGACAAGAAAGUGUGAAUAUGGUUAUUUUUUAUUUAAUAUUUUCAUGAUGAUUAACUGAAGGAUCUGACAGUAAAUAGUCUUUGGGUCUUUUUAAACUAAAACUCCUGUUGUUGUUGAUAGCAAUUGAUGCAAUUGAUAGUAAUGUGCUGUAUCCCUCAGAUGUAUUCCAGCUGAAGAAGGUGGAGAGCCACUAAAAUUUAUUGUUCUAUGUCAUUUUUCCAAAUCAUCUUUUGAUGACUGUCCAUCUACAUAUUGCUCAGUGGCUUUAUAUUUAGAACAUUAUUUGGGAAAUUGUAAUUUCAAAUAUUUUAACCUAUAAAUAUUCAAUGAAGCCUUGGCAAUGAAGAGUAAGACUUUAUAAAACCUUGAAUAUAUGAAUAGCACAGUUCUGGUUAUCUAUGUAACAACAUCCCCCAUAGUAACCUAAAACAAUGACAUUACUAUAUCCCAUGAUUCUGUGGAUUGCCUGGGCUUAGGUGGUAAGUUCUCAGGGUGUUGCUCAUUGUCACACCCAGAUAGCAGCUAGAACUAGAGUCAUCUGCAAACUCCUUUUUCUUGUGUGGACCAUCCAAGGUAGGUUUCUCAUGCACAUAUCUAGUGCUUUGGUGCUUCUUGGCCUCUCUCUUUCCACAUUGUAUCUCAUCUUCCUGGCCUCUCCACAUGGCUUGGGCUUCUUGUUGCAUGGUGUUACGAGGUACUCACACUGCUAACACAGUAGCUGACUUUCAAGAUACACAAAUUGGACCCUUUUAGACCAAUUAAGGGCUAUGGUGAAACUGGAGCAGUAUCACUCUCAUUGUAUUCUAUUGGCCAAAGUAGCAGAGGGCCUGAUCAGACCCAAAGAGGUAGAGAAAUAGAUUCUACUUCUCAAUGGGGGAGUACCAAGUUCAUAUUGCACAAGGGGAUGUAGAAUGGGAACUAUUGUUGUUAUCAUUAGGUAAUACAGUCUGCCUAAAGUACUAUAUCACCUAAUUAGACUUGCUUUGCACAUGAUGACCAGGAGGAAACAAGAUACUGUUUUGGAAUGUACUCACUAAGCAGCUGCCUAGAUGCUGCUUACCUAACAAGUGCCUUGUUUCCACUCAAGGUCAUGGAUCUUUGGGAGUCUAAUAAGAGUGAUGAAAAAUUAUUCAUAGGUCUCCUUCCUUUACUAUACAAUCCUCGCUGCUAAGAGAAAGAUGGGCAAAGGACCUGGGAUGGAUAUCUUUGUGAAUCUAUCAAUAAUGGAUAAAAUAUCUCAUUUGUCUGCUUUCCUUAUUAUCUAAUUCUUCCCUCUUAGAGGAGUCUGAGCAAAGGAGCCUAGACUGGGUGUAUGGUGGAGAGUCAGUAACUAGGAGUAGAAUCUAAAUCAAAUCAAUAGUGUCCUAGUUAACCAAAUCAAAGAGUAAAUGUACAGAAACACAGGAAACCAUGCAGGGUAAUCAAGACUAAAAUUCUGGGUUAUAAGGAACAGCCUAAAACAAUUCUGAGUUGCAAAAUAAAUGGCACCAAUAAUCUUAUACUAAAUUUCAGAAUGUUAGGAUAGGCCUUAUUCUGCUUAAGAUCAGAAUUGGUUCAAGAUACUGGGUUGGAGUUGAACUAGAAGGUUGUAGGUUGGUAGCCCCAGCUAGAAGGAGAGGCCUAGGAGGAUGCCAAGGAGUAAUUGGUAAGUUGCAAAUGUUGAGUUCCUACCAUGGACUUCUGCAGCAAUUGGUGACUGAUUUGUUAGAUGUUGCAGAGAGACUCAAAACAACUAUCAAUCAUCCUGUUAAUUAAAAAUAUUCAUUGGAUUUUUAAAUAUAUUAUAUUAUAUACUUUUGAUAGGAAAACAAUAGAAUGGUAUAAAAUAAUAAAUUUUAUUGUUUUACUUACAUAUUCUUUAAUUUCUAGUAAUCUGAUAUUUUUUCUUCUUCUUUUUUUUUUUGAGACGGGGUCUUGCCCCAUCGCCCAGCCUGGAUUGCAAUGGCGCAAUCUUGGCUCACUGAAACCUUCGCCUCCCAGGUUCAAGCAAUUAUCCUGUCUCAGCCUCCCGAGUAGCUGGGACUACAGGUGCCGCCACCAUGCCCAGCUAAUUUUUGUAUUUUUAGUAGAGAUCAGGUUUCACCUUGUUGGUCAGGCUUGUGUUGAACUCCUGACCUCAGGUGACCUACCCGCCUUGGCCUCCCAAAGUGUUGGGAUUACAGGUGUGAGCCACUGCGCCCGGCCUAUAUCUGAAUUUUUAAGAACUAAGUUUUACAUUUGAAGGUAAUGUAAAUAAUAUAUACAUUUAUGAAUAUCCUUGGUUGCAUUAUUUUUAAUAGAUUAAUACUUAUAAUAGUAUGAAUCUACAUUAGCUAAAAAUGACCUUAUGUAUAGUUGAUUUAGUUCUGGUCAUUUUAUCAUUUUGAUAAAUUAUGAAAUUAUAUCAUUGCAUAGACUGGUUGAUUUUUAUACAAUUGUUUGUGUGACUAAUUGGGGAAAGACUGGAAUGCUUACUACAAGGGUGAUUUAGUUUUUGAGUUUAAACACAAGCUAAGGUUUCAAUUUCCUGCAGUGGAAGUGCUUUCUGAGCUUGCCUGAAUAGGACUAAAAUCGUUCUAGCCAAAGAGGUGUUGAAUAAUGAUGAAUUUUUCUUAAGGUCAGCUGAUCUAUUUUUAAAGAUAACAUAGUGAAUGAGAAUCAAAGCUUAUCAUUUCUGAAAAAUGACAAUAAUAAUAAAUUGCAAUAUACUUUUAAAGAGUAGCAGUUAUAUUUGGACAGAACUUUAUUUUUUCCAGCAUGUGAAUCAUUACCUAAUAAUAUUUCAUUUAAUUAAUCAGAAAAUUGUGAGUCAAUAGCUCUGCUUACAAAACCUAUAAACAGAAACUCCAAUUCAACCUUAUCGCUACUAAAUUUUAAUGUUAAGAGACAACACAAAUUAAUUAAAGACAAAAUGAUUCACAAAAUAAUUACAGCCUCUUGUUGCCUUAGGGAAUAAUAAAGAACUAACUUAUUUCAGUAGUGAGGCUAUUAAUGGUGUGCAUGACAAAGAGAUAAACCCAAGUAUAGUUAAUUCCAUUUAAAAAUUGCCUCUGGCAAAUGAAGAAAAUAAGUGAAGAAAAGAAGUGCUUGUGUAUAUAUGUGUGUGUAUAUACAUAUAUGAAGUGAGAGAAUUAGUAAAUUUUAACCUAAUUUGUUUUUUAAAAUAAUUAAUGUAUAGGCCUUUUCUGUUGUGACUUUGAAAAAGUAUUUGAAAACAC